rnacentral:lncRNA from 1 species
CUGGGGUUACAGACCUGCACAAUCAUGCCUGGCUGAGAGAUACUUUUUAUUUCUUUUGCUUGACUUUAAUAUAAUUGAAAGGUCAUUUUCAAAGCCUAAAGACCCUUUGCUCAAUAAUUACAUGUCUGUUAUGGUUUGUAUAUAAUCUGUCCUUCAGAUGUUCCCGUGCUAAUGUAGGAAUAUUCAGAGGUGAGAUAAUUAGAUUAUGAGAGCUAUAACCUAAUCAGGCCAUCCUGGUGCCAUCCAUCAAGAGGUAUGCCCAGAAGGGCGCAUCAUCCCUGUGGCUCCUUCCCCACUUCCCCUUUCUUUGCUUUCUGGCCACUAUGAAUAGAGCUGUGCUCCUCCUUUAUGCCCUUCCAUCAAGAUUUUCUGCCUUACCUUGAUCCCAAAGGUACAGAAUUAGCCAACCCAUGGACUGAACCUCUGAAACCAUGAAUCAAAAUAAACUUUUUCCUCUUCUCUUCUUGUGAAGAAUUUUGGUUAUAGCAGUGCAAAGCUGGGAAUAACACAGCAUUCCUUUUUAUGAAAAAUAACCAAAAAGAAAAUUGAGCCUUGAUGUGACCUGUGGCUUCUCAACUGUAUAUGGGUGACAGUGAGGAGGAAAAGAGCCCAGAACAGAGAGGAGCUGCAACUCCCUGAGAUGACAGGUUCUUAAAUCAAUGCAUGGAGAUCAACUUAAAAUUGUUUCAGAACACUUCUUAAAAGGCUGCCUCAGUGGAGACCCAAAAAAGUAUCUCUUAGGCAAACCAACAUUCUGAAAAAUCCUCAUAGUUGAGAAUAUGGGUGGUUUCUUUGCUUGUUGUACUGCUUAAUUAUUGGACUCAUGUUUAGGGGCCAUAGUAAAUGGAUAAUUACUAUUUUAAACACUAAGAUGAUUCUCAGAUCAGCAAAAUGUUUAUGAUACAAAGAAGAUCUGUGAAGUGCUCCAAGGAAAUCAACUCUAGAGUCAGGUCUCAUUUCCUUCUAGAAUCAGAGACUGUUGGAAAUGGCCACAGGUAUCCUCCAUUACAGGUAACCAUUAGAAGUUUAAGCUCCAUGGUUUUCUUGUGAUAUCUCUUUAGGCAAGCCUCUUAGUUUCUCUAAGUCUCACUAUCUACCUCUACCGUUGUCGAGAGCUUGAGUAAGCUACAGUUGCAUAGCAGUUUGUACUGUACAUUCAACUUUGUAGGCACUCAACAAAUGUCUCCUUCUGUUAGAAUCUGGGGGUCCACUGGAAAAGACCUUGGUACUGAUGGGAGCCUUGAAUCCCACAAAGAGCUUCUCCCACUCUUAUAUGUCCUUAAAAUGUGUGUUUCAAUUAAUCCCUGUAUAUGCCUAUUCCCAAUAUUUAGCAAAAGUUGUCUAAAGAAUGAGUUCCUUUCAUUUAACUUGAGACUGACUACUGGUGGGUGUUGAAGAUGUCUGCUUCAUGGUCUCAGAAAUAGAUUUUAGGAAACUCAUUGUGGUCUGGACUAGGACUAUAUUCAUGUUGAAGGUGGUUCUCUGCCUCUGACCUGGUCUGUUGUAUAAAUGAAAUAGGAACUGGAAAAAUAUGAGUCUUAAAGAAAUUCCUGAGGUCUUUCAUAUACUGUUUUCUUAAUAUUUGUAAUUUUGGCCCUUUUCUUGGAACUUUCUCAACUCUUGGAGAUUAGGCAGUGGGACUGGGGUUACAAGCUGCAAAACUGGAGGAAACCAAACUGAGUAUAUGCAGUAGAUGAGACCUCCUUCUUUGCCCUAAUCAAAUAACUCCUCUGGGUAAAUGCUAUUACCUUGCAAAUAUUAUAUUGGAAGAUAGAUUUUGAAAAAUGAGGAUGCUAUAAGAAUAUGAGCAGUGAAAAUGAACUUUAGGCAUUACAGAAAAAUUAGAGGAAAGAGAAAUAGCUCAACGACUGGG